AUAACCACUUCCAAAAUUUUAUUAUUCAUUUAGUGUUGUCAGCGAAGUUGACACAUAAACAAGAAAAAGUUAUCCAAGUGGAAAAUCAGCCAUUUGAGUUGCAAUGCAGUGUUACUGGCACACAAGCAGAGAUUGACAACAUUAAAAUCGAGUGGAGUAGGCCUGACCCAGAUGUGUCGGGGAGUGAAAUCCCCAUUGCAGAAAAUGAUCCUAACAGAAAUAUCACUGUCAAAAAUAGUGAGACCC